GAGUUUGAUCUUGGCUCAGAUUGAACGCUGGCGGCAUGCCUUACACAUGCAAGUCGAACGGUAACAGGUUAAGCUGACGAGUGGCGAACGGGUGAGUAAUGUAUCGGAACGUGCCCAGUCGUGGGGGAUAACUGCUCGAAAGAGCAGCUAAUACCGCAUACGACCUGAGGGUGAAAGCGGGGGAUCGCAAGACCUCGCGCGAUUGGAGCGGCCGAUAUCAGAUUAGGUAGUUGGUGGGGUAAAGGCUCACCAAGCCAACGAUCUGUAGCUGGUCUGAGAGGACGACCAGCCACACUGGGACUGAGACACGGCCCAGACUCCUACGGGAGGCAGCAGUGGGAAUUUUGGACAAUGGGCGCAAGCCUGAUCCAGCCAUGCCGCGUGCGGG
rnacentral:rRNA from 1 species